rnacentral:rRNA from 1 species
GAUGAACGCUGGCGGCGUGCUUAACACAUGCAAGUCGAGCGAAGCACCUUGAAGUUUUCGGACUAAGAGGUGACUGAGCGGCGGACGGGUGAGUAACGCGUGGGUAACCUGCCUCAUACAGGGGGGUAACAGUUAGAAAUGACUGCUAAUACCGCAUAAGCGCACAGGGCCGCAUGGUCCGGUGUGAAAAACUCCGGUGGUGUAAGAUGGACCCGCGUCUGAUUAGGUAGUUGGUGGGGUAACGGCCCACCAAGCCGACGAUCAGUAGCCGACCUGAGAGGGUGACCGGCCACAUUGGGACUGAGACACGGGCCCAAACUCCUACGGGAGGCAGCAGUGGGGAAUAUUGGACAAUGGGCAAAGCCUGAUCCAGCGACGCCGCGUGAGUGAAGAAGUAUUUC